UACGUAGGGUGCAAGCGUUGUCCGGAAUUAUUGGGCGUAAAGAGCUCGUAGGCGGUUUGUUGCGUCGGCUGUGAAAUCCCGAGGCUCAACCUCGGGUCUGCAGUCGAUACGAGCAAACUAGAGUGUUGCAGGGGAGACUGGAAUUCCUGGUGUAGCGGUGAAAUGCGCAGAUAUCAGGAGGAACACCGGUGGCGAAGGCGGCCAUCUGGACCGGAACUGACGCUGAGGCGCGAAAGCCAGGGGAGCGAAUGGG
rnacentral:rRNA from 1 species